rnacentral:rRNA from 1 species
AUUGAACGCUGGCGGCAGGCCUAACACAUGCAAGUCGAGCGGAUGAAGGGGGCUUGCUCCUGGAUUCAGCGGCGGACGGGUGAGUAAUGCCUAGGAAUCUGCCUGGUAGUGGGGGAUAACGUCCGGAAACGGGCGCUAAUACCGCAUACGUCCUGAGGGAGAAAGUGGGGGAUCUUCGGACCUCACGCUAUCAGAUGAGCCUAGGUCGGAUUAGCUAGUUGGUGGGGUAAAGGCCUACCAAGGCGACGAUCCGUAACUGGUCUGAGAGGAUGAUCAGUCACACUGGAACUGAGACACGGUCCAGACUCCUACGGGAGGCAGCAGUGGGGAAUAUUGGACAAUGGGCGAAAGCCUGAUCCAGCCAUGCCGCGUGUGUGAAGAAGGUCUUCGGAUUGUAAAGCACUUUAAGUUGGGAGGAAGGGCAGUAAGUUAAUACCUUGCUGUUUUGACGUUACCAUCAGAAUAAGCACCGGCUAACUUCGUG